UAAAACCCUUAAUAUUUUUGUAUGUGUUUUUUUUUUAAUUAUAGGUUUGUCAGCUGGCAAGAGUGGGGGGGGGGCUUUUAAGACUGCUACAACGUGUUGGACAGGCUCUUCACCAAUCAACUCAUGACCCUAUUCAACAUGAAGGGGAAGGGCAAAAAAGAAAAAAUAGGAUUUGAAGACAAGAAAUUGUUUUCAGCAAUAAAAGCUGCUGUCAUGAAGUGGGAUGCAGCUGCAACAGAGGCCCAAAUAAAGUCUGCUGCAGCCGAUCAUCUGAAGCACGCCCCCGGGAGAGUCAGGGGUGGUGGCUAUAAAUGAAUCUUGACCUUAGUAUAACAUAAUUAACACAUUUGGCUGCUGUGUUAUAGAGUAUUAUAGUGGAAUAGUGUUAAUUUAUAUUUUUACUGUUCUGCCUUUUAAAGGAGCAUUUCACCCGUAGAAACAUUAAUCUUUAUUAAAAGUGUGUCAUAUUUGUAGUCGAAAUGUAACAUACAUUUAGAAUUUGGUGCCUAUUUGACCGAGAAAAGGGGUGUUUGUAGUCUCACUCCCUCAACAAAGAUAUUGCACUUCCUUCUUUCAAUGAUGCAAAAUGAUGAUUUUUACAUCAUUGAAAGAAGUAAGUGCAACACUGAAGUCUGUAUUUCUCCUGUCUCAGCGACAACUGAGAAAAUGAUGCAUGAUCAUUCAAAAACAUGACUGGGGUUCUAACUAUACAAAGUUUAAUGCAAAUGGGUGAAGUGUCCCUUUAAGUGUUCAUUUAUAACUGUAAUGUUUUGCCUUUUAAGCUUUUUUGUGUUAAUGUGUUAAUUUAUACUUUACUGUUCUGCCUGUUAAGUUUUGGUCCACCAGAACAACAUAGUAAUAAAAAUAUACUUUGAGAAUUUA